rnacentral:rRNA from 1 species
CGCGUAGGUGGUUUGUUAAGUUGGAUGUGAAAGCCCCGGGCUCAACCUGGGAACUGCAUCCAAAAACUGGCAAGCUAGAGUACGGUAGAGGGUGGUGGAAUUUCCUGUGUAGCGGUGAAAUGCGUAGAUAUAGGAAGGAACACCAGUGGCGAAGGCGACCACCUGGACUGAUACUGACACUGAGGUGCGAAAGCGUGGGGAGCAAACA